rnacentral:rRNA from 1 species
CGUCAGUGUUAACCCAGGGGGCUGCCUUCGCCAUCGGUGUUCCUCCACAUCUCUACGCAUUUCACUGCUACACGUGGAAUUCCACCCCCCUCUGCCACACUCUAGCCUUGUAGUUUCAAACGCAGUUCCCAGGUUAAGCCCGGGGAUUUCACAUCUGACUUACAAAACCGCCUGCGCACGCUUUACGCCCAGUAAUUCCGAUUAACGCUUGCACCCUACGUAUUACCGCGGCUGCUGGCACGUAGUUAGCCGGUGCUUCUUCUUCCGAUACCGUCAGUAGUCACAGGUAUUAGCCGUGACCGUUUCGUUCCGGCUGAAAGAGCUUUACAACCCGAAGGCCUUCUUCACUCACGCGGCAUGGCUGGAUCAGGGUUUCCCCCAUUGUCCAAAAUUCCCCACUGCUGCCUCCCGUAGGAGUCUGGGCCGUGUCUCAGUCCCAGUGUGGCUGGUCGUCCUCUCAGACCAGCUACUGAUCGUCGCCUUGGUAAGCCUUUACCUCACCAACUAGCUAAUCAGGCAUCGGCCGCUCCAAGAGCGCAAGGUCUUGCGAUCCCCUGCUUUUCUCCGUAGAGAUUAUGCGGUAUUAGCACACCUUUCGGUGCGUUAUCCCCCACUCGAAGACACGUUCCGAUGCAUUACUCACCCGUUCGCCACUCGCCACCAGGGUUGCCCCCGUGCUGCCGUUCGACUUGCAUGUGUAAAGCAUGCCGCCAGCGUUCAAUCUGAGCCAGGAUCAAACUC